GAAUGAGUACCGUAAUAAUAGAAAGAAAACUCUGUCGGGACUAGCCUCAGCGCAGCGGUUGCCGCGGCUGUUUCUGCUUGCUGUCGCCGGCCGCAGUCUCCGCCGCGGCUCACGGAUGCCCUGCAUCCUCCUUCCCGCGGCCGCGCUUAAUCGAAGCCUUCUUCUGCACCAACCUUAUCCUGUCAGCUGGAAACGCCAAAUUCUCCAAACCCUAGCGCCAAAAUCCCCAUUCUGAUCGCUGCAACCGGAGCCGGAUUCUCUUGGUUUACGCCUGGCGCUCGUAUCGUGUCUCCGCAUGAUGCAACGAGCACGCGCAUGAACUCGAUGGAUGAAAUCAACCUGCUGCGGCAGGCGCAGCGGCAGCAUCAGCAUCAUCUCAUGGUGCGCGGCAUCGGCGAGGAGAUCGACCUCGAGAUCGGCCCUGUCGACGAUCCCUCUUUUUCCGGAGCUUCCUUAGUGGCCGUUACGUCCACGCACGACACUGUCGUUCACGCCGACGACCACAAGAGCCUCCUCAUCCCGUGUUCGCAGCCCGGCGCGGCGGACGGGCUGGCGCCGCAGCAGCACCUGUCGCAGGGGGAAGAGCAUGACGGGAUGCUCAGGUCGCCGUCGGGGCACACCAAGAAGAAGAAGAAGGUGGUCAAGAAAUGGCGGGAGGAGUGGGCGGACACCUACAAGUGGGCCUACGUCGCCGUGCACGACACCACCACCAGGAUCUUCUGCUCGGUGUGCAAGGAGUACGGCCGGAAGCACCGCCGGAAUCCAUAUGGUAACGAGGGAAGCAGGAAUAUGCAGAUGAGUGCGCUUGAGGAGCACAACAAUAGCUUGUUGCAUAAGGAGGCGCUCCGGUUACAGAUGGCCUCCAAGGAGAAGUUGCAGCCUCCCGAGAUUGAGGGGCCGGUCUAUGUCAAAGGUAAAGCUUUAUCGAAAACAGCAGCAUCAAUACUUGAAUGUGUCCUAAGGAGGGAUCCCCAUGAAGCUGAAUAUAUACAGUCGAUCCAGGAGGUGGUUCAUUCCUUAGAACCUGUUUUGGUGAAGAAUGCCCAAUAUAUUCAAAUUUUGGAGCGUUUGUUGGAACCUGAGAGAUGCUUUAUCUUCAGAGUGCCAUGGAUUGAUGACAGAGGUGAAGCACACGUCAAUAGAGGUUUCCGUGUGCAAUUCAGUCAGGCGUUAGGUCCAUGCAGGGGUGGUCUUCGGUUUCACCCAUCCAUGAGCUUAAGUGUGGCAAAGUUUCUGGCCUUUGAACAUACUUUAAAGAAUGCUUUGUCACUAUAUAAACUUGGAGGUGCUGCUGGAGGAAGUGAUUUUGAUCCAAAGGGAAAAAGUGAUAAUGAGAUAAUGCGCUUUUGCCAAAGUUUCAUGGAUGAGCUGUAUAGAUAUUUGGGCCCUGAUCAGGAUUUUCCCGCUGAAGAUAUUGGUGUUGGUCCAAGGGAAAUGGGUUACCUUUUUGGGCAGUAUAGACGUCUUUCUGGUCAUUUUCAGGGAAAUUUUACAGGACCUAAAAUUUUCUGGUCAGGGUCAAGUUUUCGAACAGAAGCUACUGGAUAUGGUCUGGUAAAGUGCUACCUUAAUUUUCGUUUGGCUGGAGAUAGUGUGUUCUGUGGGUGCUAUAGUUGUUUCACAAGUAAUAUUUCUGUUGCAUGUGUUGACUGGACCAUUGUCCUUGUUCAAAGUGAAACACUAUAUGAAAUCAUUCUAUCUAUGCAGGUGUUUUUUGCACGUCUUUUACUUGCUGAAAUGAAUAAAGAGCUUAAAGGAUUAAGAUGUGUGAUCAGCGGUUCUGGGAAGAUAGCAAUGCAUGUUUUGGAAAAGCUUUUGCCUUGUGGAGCCAUUCCUAUUACUGUCUCAGAUUCAAAGGGAUAUUUGUUAGAUGAAGAUGGGUUUGAUUAUAUGAAAUAUUCACUUCUAAGGGAUAUUAAGGCUCAGCAAAAGAGCCUCAAGUGGGGAGUACUUGAAAUCAUAUCCACAUGCUAAGUAUAUUGAUGAUGCAAAACCAUGGAGCCAGCGGUGUGAUGUUGCAUUUCCUUGUGCAUCACAUAAUGAGAUUGACCAAGGGGAGGCUGUUGCAAUCAGCAACUCUGGUUGUCGUGUUCUUGUCGAAUGUUCAAAUAUGUCGUGCACUGUUCAAGCUGUUGAUAUCCUAAGAAAGGCAAAAGUUAUUGUUGCUCCAGCAAAGGCAACUGCUGCUGGUGGGGUAGCACUUGGGGAGAUUGAAUUGAAUCCAGAGUUUAAUUUGAUGCAAUUGUCAGUGGAGGAUUUUGAGAAUAGAAUUCAAGAUGCAAUAAAGCAAACAUAUGAAAGGUCGGUCAAAGCUGCUCAAGAUUACGGGAUCAUGAAAGAAAGCCCCGAGUUUUUGGUCCAUGGCGCGAACAUUUGUGCUUUCCUUAAUAUCGCGCAAGCCAUGACUGACCAGGGAUGUGUUUAGUUAGGCCUGGAUUCUGUCAAGAAGCUUCAACUGGAGCUUUCUGCAACCGCGAGGGAAAAAACUUUCUGACAACUAGAGGUGCUUUGAUGCUUAAACUUUGAGUAGUUCUGCACAAAUCUUGAAGCCCUACAAAACAGGGAGUAACUAGGAUCCAUUUACCCCUGUUUAUGCUAGAAAUGUGUACAGCUAAGGUGUAGGAAAGGCAACUAGGAUCCAUUUAUGCUAGAAAUGUGUACAGCUAAAUGUAAAUGGAAAGUUCUACAUUGUAUGCAAAGCCUAUAUCCGCACCAUCUGUUACACCAAUUUGAUUUCAUUGUUAUGAACGACAUAUUAUUCUA